ACGUAGGUGGCAAGCGUUGUCCGGAUUUAUUGGGCGUAAAGCGAGCGCAGGCGGAAAAAUAAGUCUAAUGUGAAAGCCCUCGGCUUAACCGAGGAACUGCAUCGGAAACUGUUUUUCUUGAGUGCAGAAGAGGAGAGUGGAACUCCAUGUGUAGCGGUGGAAUGCGUAGAUAUAUGGAAGAACACCAGUGGCGAAGGCGGCUCUCUGGUCUGCAACUGACGCUGAGGCUCGAAAGCAUGGGUAGCGAACAG
rnacentral:rRNA from 2 species